rnacentral:rRNA from 1 species
CAUGCAAGUCGAACGAAGCACCUCAGAUUGAUCUCUUCGGAAGGAUAUCUCUGGUGACUGAGUGGCGGACGGGUGAGUAACGCGUGGGUAACCUGCCUCAUACAGGGGGAUAACAGUUAGAAAUGACUGCUAAUACCGCAUGAGCGCACAGUACCGCAUGGUACAGUGUGAAAAACUCCGGUGGUAUGAGAUGGACCCGCGUCUGAUUAGCUUGUUGGCGGGGUAACGGCCCACCAAGGCGACGAUCAGUAGCCGACCUGAGAGGGUGAUCGGCCACAUUGGGACUGAGACACGGCCCAAACUCCUACGGGAGGCAGCAGUGGGGAAUAUUGCACAAUGGGGGAAACCCUGAUGCAGCGACGCCGCGUGAAGGAAGACGUAUUUCGGUAUGUAAACUUCUAUCAGCAAGGAAGAUGAUGACGGUACUUGACUAAGAAGCCCCGGCUAACUACGUGCCAGCAGCCGCGGUAAUACGUAGGGGGCAAGCGUUAUCCGGAUUUACUGGGUGUAAAGGGAGCGUAGGCGGCCAUGCAAGUCAGAAGUGAAAGCCCGGGGCUCAACCCCGGGACUGCUUUUGAAACUGUAGGGCUAGAUUGCCGGAGAGGUGAGCGGAAUUCCUAGUGUAGCGGUGAAAUGCGUAGAUAUUAGGAGGAACACCAGUGGCGAAGGCGGCUCACUGGACGGUAAAUGACGCUGAGGCUCGAAAGCGUGGGGAGCAAACAGGAUUAGAUACCCUGGUAGUCCACGCCG